rnacentral:rRNA from 1 species
CCUACGGGUGGCUGCAGUGGGGAAUAUUGGACAAUGGGGGGAACCCUGAUCCAGCCAUGCCGCGUGUGUGAAGAAGGCCCUCGGGUUGUAAAGCACUUUCAGUGAGGAAGAACGCCUGGUGGUUAAUACCCAUCAGGAAAGACAUCACUCACAGAAGAAGCACCGGCUAACUCCGUGCCAGCAGCCGCGGUAAUACGGAGGGUGCGAGCGUUAAUCGGAAUUACUGGGCGUAAAGCGCGCGUAGGUGGCUUGAUAAGCCGGUUGUGAAAGCCCCGGGCUCAACCUGGGAACGGCAUCCGGAACUGUCAAGCUAGAGUGCAGGAGAGGGAGGUAGAAUUCCCGGUGUAGCGGUGAAAUGCGUAGAGAUCGGGAGGAAUACCAGUGGCGAAGGCGGCCUUCUGGACUGACACUGACACUGAGGUGCGAAAGCGUGGGUAGCAAACAGGAUUAGAUACCCGGGUAGUC